UACGUAGGGGGCUAGCGUUGUCCGGAUUUAUUGGGCGUAAAGAGCGUGUAGGCGGCUAGAUAGGUCCGUUGUGAAAACUCGAGGCUCAACCUCGAGACGCCGGUGGAAACCAUCUAGCUAGAGUCCGGAAGAGGGGAGUGGAAUUCCUGGUGUAGCGGUGAAAUGCGCAGAUAUCAGGAAGAACACCCGUGGCGAAGGCGGCUCUCUGGUACGUGACUGACGCUGAGACGCGAAAGCGUGGGGAGCGAACAGG
rnacentral:rRNA from 1 species